AGAAGAUCUCAUGAUUUCAAGGCAAAUAGGCUGAGCUUUCGAUGUUUUACAUUUUUAUAAUUGAAUUUAUUUUUACCAUAAAAAGGAAGCAAGCUUACCAAUAGGUGAAAAAUCAGUAUGGCCAGCAAGAGGAAAAAAAUAAUUAUAGAUGAAAAAAUUAGGACUACACUCGUAUCGUAUUGGGACAGAGGAUUGACAGGAUAUGGAGACCAAAGAAAAAGAGACCUGUUGCAGGAAGCAGUGCUUGCAACUGGCUUGGAGGAAGUACAGGUGAAGGUAGGCUAAUUAUACUCACUCUACACUUACUAUAUACAAUGUUUAAGCAAUUUA